UCAAGCUAAGAAGAGCGCAGGGCGAAUGCCUUGGCACUGGGAGCCGACGAAGGACGCGAUAAGCUGCGAUAAGCUGCGGGGAGGAGCAAAUAUCCAUUGAUCCGCAGAUUUCCGAAUGGAGAAAUCCGUAUGGAGAAGUCCAUACAUCAUAUACUGAAUUCAUAGGUAUAUGAGGGAAACCGCCUGAACUGAAACAUCUAAGUAGGGCGAGGAAAAGAAAUCAACCGAGAUACCGCAAGUAGUGGCGAGCGAACGCGGCAGAGGCCAAACCCGUAGUAGAAAUACUAUGGGGGUUGCGGACUGCAUUUAGCAUUGUUGAUCUUUAACCGAAGGGCAUGGGAAGGCCCACCGAAGAACGUGAGAGUCGUGUAGGUGAAAAGGAGAGACAGCGAGCAGGAUCCAGAGUACCGCGGGACACGAGGAAUCCCGUGGGAAGCCGGGGGGACCACCCUCCAAGCCUAAAUACUACCCAGUGACCGAUAGCGUAUAGUACUGUGAAGGAAAGGUGAAAAGGACCCCGGGAGGGGAGUGAAAUAGAACCUGAAACCCUGUGCCUACAAGCACCGAGAGCACGUCAAAGUGUGAUCGGGUACCUAUUGUAGAAUGGUCCGGCGAGUGUGUGUAACCAGCAAGGUUAAGAGCUUAAGGCUCGGAGCCGCAGCGAAAGCGAGUCUGAAAAGGGCGUAUGAAGUUGGUUGUACACGACCCGAAACCGGGUGACCUACCCAUGUCCAGGAUGAAGUGGAGGUAAAACUCCAUGGAGGUCCGAACACACGUCCGUUGAAAUGGCCGGUGAUGAGGUGUGGGUAGCGGAGAAAUUCCAAUCGAACCCGGAUAUAGCUGGUUCUCUCCGAAAUAGCUUUAGGGCUAGCCUCGACUGAACAUUACCGGAGGUAGAGCGCUGAAUGGGCUAGGGGCCGAGAGGUUACUGAACCCUAUCAAACUUCAAAUGCCGGAAAAUGAUAGUCGGGAGUCAGACUGCGUGAGAUAAGUUUCGUAGUCGAAAGGGAAACAGCCCAGACCCACAGCUAAGGUCCCAAAGUACGGUUAAGUGGAAAAGGAUGUGGAGUUGCACAGACAACCAGGAUGUUGGCUUAGAAGCAGCCACUCAUUAAAAGAGUGCGUAAUAGCUCACUGGUCGAGUGACUCUGCGCCGAAAAUUUAACGGGGCUAAAUCGUACACCGAAGCUUGGGAUGUUAGAUGUUAGACAGUAGACAUUAGACAAUAGAUGAGGAGCUCAGAAAUGAACGGUUAUGAGAAAUUGCAGGUGUAUCAAAGAGGAUAUGCGGCAGCGAAAAGCGUUUACAGGAUGACGGAGAGUUAUCCGAAAGAAGAGCGCUAUGGAAUAACCGAUCAGAUGAGACGAGCAGCAGUAUCAGUAGCAUUGAAUAUCGCAGAAGGAUAUGCAAAGAAAGAUAGUCAGCCGGAAUUUAAAAGAUUUCUGGAAAUGGCAAAAGGUUCUGCAUAUGAAAUGAGCGUCUUGAUAGAUUUGUCAAGAGAUUUAGGAUAUAUCAAUGACGAAAAGCAUGACAAAGCAUUAAAAGAGUAUGAAGAAAUCUCAAAGAUGCUGAGUGUACUGAUAAAGCGCAUAAGAUCCAAUAUCUAAAAUCUAAUAUCUAGCGUCUAACAUCUAACAUGGUAGGAGAGCGUUGAAUGCGGGGUGAAGUCAGAGCGAAAGCGCUGGUGGACUGCAUUGAAGUGAGAAUGCCGGAAUGAGUAGCGAGAUUUAUGUGAGAAUCAUAAAGGCCGAAAGACUAAGGUUUCAGAAGGAAGGUUCGUCCGCUUCUGGUUAGCCGGGAGCUAAGGUGAGGCCGAAAGGCGUAGCCGAUGCACAUACGGUGGAGAUUCCGUAGCCGUCAAAAUAUUUAAGCAAAGGGACACUUAUGAAGGGCAUGACCCGGGCGAUGGUAGCCCCGGGCGUAAGGGACCGAAAAUAAGUAGGGAAGCAUGUUUGGAAUAAGGCGAGAAAAGCUUUGUGGAUAUAUGAGACGUCCGUACCGCAAACCGACACAGGUAGUCAGGAAGAGGAUUCUAAGGCCAACGGGAGAAGGGUAGUUAAGGAACUCGGCAAAUUGACCCCGUAACUUCGGAAUAAGGGGCGGUGCGUAAGCACCCGCAGUGAAUAGGUCCAGGCGACUGUUUAUCAAAAACACAGCUCUCUGCUAAAUCGAAAGAUGACGUAUAGGGGGUGACACCUGCCCGGUGCUGGAAGGUUAAGAGGAGGAGUGCAAGCUCCGAAUUGAAGCCCCAGUAAACGGCGGCCGUAACUAUAACGGUCCUAAGGUAGCGAAAUUCCUUGUCGGGU
rnacentral:rRNA from 1 species